rnacentral:rRNA from 1 species
GCGUCGUUGGGACUAGUUAGAGUUUGAUCCUGGCUCAGGACGAACGCUGGCGGCGUGCCUAAUACAUGCAAGUCGAGCGGACCGACGGGAGCUUGCUCCCUUAGGUCAGCGGCGGACGGGUGAGUAACACGUGGGUAACCUGCCUGUAAGACUGGGAUAACUCCGGGAAACCGGGGCUAAUACCGGAUGCUUGAUUGAACCGCAUGGUUCAAUCAUAAAAGGUGGCUUUUAGCUACCACUUGCAAGAUGGACCCGCGGCGCAUUAGCUAGUUGGUGAGGUAACGGCUCACCAAGGCGACGAUGCGUAGCCGACCUGAGAGGGUGAUCGGCCACACUGGGACUGAGACACGGCCCAGACUCCUACGGGAGGCAGCAGUAGGGAAUCUUCCGCAAUGGACGAAAGUCUGACGGAGCAACGCCGACGUGAGUGAUGAAGGUUUUCGGAUCGUAAAACUCUGUUGUUAGGGAAGAACAAGUACCGUUCGAAUAGGGCGGUACCUUGACGGUACCUAACCAGAAAGCCACGGCUAACUACGUGCCAGCAGCCGGCGGUAAUACGUAGGUGGCAAGCGUUGUCCGGAAUUAUUGGGCGUAAAGCGCGCGCAGGCGGUUUCUUAAGUCUGAUGUGAAAGCCCCCGGCUCAACCGGGGAGGGUCAUUGGAAACUGGGGAACUUGAGUGCAGAAGAGGAGAGUGGAAUUCCACGUGUAGCGGUGAAAUGCGUAGAGAUGUGGAGGAACACCAGUGGCGAAGGCGACUCUCUGGUCUGUAACUGACGCUGAGGCGCGAAAGCGUGGGGAGCGAACAGGAUUAGAUACCCUGGUAGUCCACGCCGUAAACGAUGAGUGCUAAGUGUUAGAGGGUUUCCGCCCUUUAGUGCUGCAGCAAACGCAUUAAGCACUCCGCCUGGGGAGUACGGUCGCAAGACUGAAACUCAAAGGAAUU